GAGCCGCUAGCUCAGAAGGUAGAGCAUCGCCCUUUUAAGGCGAGGGCCCUGGGUUCGAGUCCCAGGCGGCUCACCA
rnacentral:tRNA from 1 species